AACACUCUCAAUCACUCUCAAUCUCUCUCAAAACCUAGAUAUCGGGUUCUAGCCUUUUUUUCUAGACUGAAGCCAAUUUAUCCCAAUUCCCAAAUCGAAGAAUCGAAGACAGAACCCUAUCAUGAACGAAGUCGCCGUUUUCACGUUUUGAACCAAAACUGGAGUCGCCCUCUCUCAGUCUCUUUCUCUCAGAGACUCAGAGUCUCAGUCUCUCCCUCUCUCUACGGUCCGGCUGCAUGAUUCUCAGGCUCUCAGCGGCUCAACCUCUCUCCGACUGUCGGAGUCCCCGGUGACAACGAAUUUCUGUCAUCACUCAUUCACUCUUGGUUUGCUUCUUCGACUCCUCCUCAAGCUGUCAAGCCACUCCUCAAGCAGCAAACUUUGGGCUUUCUGGGUUCGAUUUCUGGGUUCAAGGCUUCAAGGAGUUCAAGCUCGGUGAUUCUGCAAUACAUUGGAAAUCUCAAAGCGUUACAUACAGAAGAGAGAUUGGAUUGUAGGAGCUGACUAUUGACAAGUCUAGGCGACUGAAUUUCU